rnacentral:rRNA from 1 species
GACGCACGCUGGCGGCGUGCUUAACAAAUGCAAGUCGAACGGAAAGGCCCUGCUUUUGUGGGGUGCUCGAGUGGCGAAAGGGUGAGUAGCACGUGAGUAACCUGCCCUUGACUUUGGGAUAACUUCAGGAAACUGGGGCUAAUACCGGAUAGGAGCUCCUGCUGCAUGGUGGGGGUUGGAAAGUUUCGGCGGUUGGGGAUGGUCUCGCGGCUUAUCAGCUUGUUGGUGGAGUAGUGGCUUACCAAGGCUUUGACGGAUAGCCGGCCUGAGAGGGUGACCGGCGACAUUGGGACUGAGAUACGGCCCAGACUCCUACGGGAAGCAGCAGUGGAGAAUAUUGCACAAUGGGCGGACGCCUGAUGCAGAAACGCCGCGUGCGGGAUGACGGCCUUUGGGUUGUAAAACGCUUUCGCCUGUGACGAAGCGUGAGUGACGGUAAUGGGUAAAGAAGCACCGGCUAACUACGUG